GCCUGGGUGGCUUGGUCGGUUAAGCGUCCGACUUCGGCUCAGGUCAUGAUCUCACGGUCUGUGGGUUCAAGCCCCGCGUCAGGCU
rnacentral:tRNA from 1 species